UUACAUCCCGGGCUACACACGUGCUACAAUGGCAGGUACAGAGGGCUGCGAAGCGCGAGGUGGAGCGAAUCCCAGAAAACCUGUCUCAGUCCGGAUUGAAGUCUGCAACUCGACUUCAUGAAGGCGGAAUCGCUAGUAAUCGCGGAUCAGCAUGCCGCGGUGAAUACGUUCCCGGGCCUU
rnacentral:rRNA from 1 species